AUAACAUUUUCUGUUUCAGCAGUUGUGGACAUCUGAUGUGAGUGUGCAAGACCACUGGAGAAGAAGUCUUGAAAAUAAAAAAAGGAUGAAAUCCUUCUGAGGUGGGUGCUCAUUUUGCUGGUCUCCUGGAAUGACUCUUUGCAUCACCUAGUCACAGAGCUGCAGGAUAUGAAAGGAGCCUCAAAUGCUCUUCCAUCAAAGGCCAAAGAGAUUGAGGAAGACAACAAAGUACUUCAGGAAGGCAUGGAAACUAUAACUGGCCAGAUUCAUCCUGGAGUCAAGGAAAACGUGACUACUCCUUGUGAUCAGGACUCCCAUCGCUGCAGUCAAAAGAUGAAGAUGGCCACCAAACCACUUUGA
rnacentral:lncRNA from 1 species